CUAUGGAGGAUUAUUGACCGUUGGACCUUGUCAGCUGUUCUCGAACGAGCCAUCUAACGUAAGGAGCUGAACUACAGAGGUCUCGGCGCAUCGUCUCGCCGCGCCUCGUCAUAACUGGGGAACACAUUUUCUGCAUCAGUGCACAGAAAGACGUCUUGCCAUUCAUCAAGGAUAUACUAGACCCAAACAUUUCAAACAAAUGGCUGACAUUUUUUAAGAGAUGCAAAGCACAUAAUUUGCUGAGAGUUGUUCAACAGUUACUAGCAGUGUCACCGUCCAGCUAAACAUCUGGAGCAGUGAAAGAAACAGACUGAGAGUGAAAAUGCUGAACUGUUUGUGAAUGUGCUGAAUUUGCUAAAUUUGUUAAAUCUGACAACGAGAAAGAACUUGUUAAAGCCGUGAACUCAGAAAAGAAGUACAACUUCAAAAUAUAACUAGUAAAGAAACUAGAGGCUCACAGAAAUGGGUGAUUUCACAGUAUUAACAGAUGCAUACAGUGGCCAUGGUGUACUUCGGUGUAUCAUGCAGCCUUGUUCAAAUGGCUCUGAGCACUAUGGGACUCAACUGCUGUGGUCAUAAGUCCCCUCUGCAGCCUUGUUGGUACAACAGUAAUGAAAGAGGGUGUGUCAGUUGCUGGUCCUACACAGUCAGUGAGAAAGCAGCAGAUGUGUUUCAGGGCAAGAGACAAAAAAAUACUCUGACAUUUUUACAUGAAUAUACCACAAUCUUGGGAUUUGUAAUGCAUGCGGAAGAAAUUGUCAAGUUUUUGUGACAACCAAGAUUAUAAAUUUAACUGCUGCUCAUUUAACUUGCAGAAAUUUAAGCUGUGCUAUUGCGACCCAAUGCUACCUUAUCUUUGUAAUUCGCAACAUAUUCCUGGAGGAGAUUAUGAAGAAGACGAUCAUAUCAAUUGCUGCAUUAGAAAUUCAUUGCCUCUUUCCUCGCCUCAUAUUGGGUAUGAGAAAGUAUCUUCUCAUUGGUUAUGUGAAACUGACAUGUUGCCAACUUAUGAGCAGUUAAGCAGUAGGAAACACCACCAUGACUGCUGAUGUCCCUUAUCUAGACACUAGUCCAAUGUUAUUAUUGGUGUCCGAGCAAUGACAAACAGUUUUAGAACAUGCAGAUACAGAUCCUCUGUACAAUUUGUUUGUUAACCACAGUGGGAUGUACAUGAAAGACCAACUUGAAAUUGCAAACAUAUGCCAUGAAUAUUUUUCAUUGGUAAGGACAGUGAAAAACACAAAAUCCCACAGUAUAAUUUUAAAGUCAGUCCACCUGCACAUAGCACAUAUCUAGCCCCAACAAAUUACAAAGAAAUAAUGAUCAUCAUCAGCUCUUUAAAAUCUUCCAUUUCUGCAAGGCAGUACGACCUCAUUAUUAAUGUAAUAAAUAUGUGUAGACAAAAUGUCUCUGUACCUGUGCCUGUAACAGUAAAUAAUAUAACACAAUUGGGCACCUUCCUUGACAGACUAAAACUAGCCCAGAUAACACCAAUCUUUAAAAAAGGUGACAAAUCCAAAAUUUUAAAUUACAGAUCAAUCUCAGUACUUAAUGUUUUCUCCAGAAUAGUUGAAAUAGAAUUAUAAAUUUCCCAACAAAUACAGUCUGAUGUUUGAAUAUCAAAAUGUAUUCCUAAAAUGUAAAUCAACUAGCAUCACAGCUGCUCAGUUAAUUAAAGUGGUAAUAAAUGCAAUCGAGAACAAGGAAGAUUUUGAAGGUAUAAGUUGCCCUUGAGAAAGCUUUUGACUGUGGAAACAUUAUCCUAUUAGGUAAGCUAUGGAACACUGAACACAACAGCCACUGCUUGUGACCUAAUCAAUCCUACAUGUCUAAUUGAAAGUGAUGUUCACAAGUCAAAAUUUACUAAUACAAAAUAUGUGGUGCUACUGGGCUCUGUAUAGGGCCCUAUUGUUUCUGUUGUGUGUUAGUUAUAUUAAAUAUUGCUCUCUAAGCUCUAAAGUAGUUCUUUAAGCAGAUGAUAAGUCCAGUGUAUGCAAAACUGAAACAUUUAAUGAACUAGAGGCCCAUUGCAGUAACAUGUCAAAUCAAAUUGUACAGUACUUUAAUGACAGCCUCCUAAAUGUAAACACCAGUAAAUCUCAAGGAUUUCAGCAAUGUGGACUAAAAAUAGAAUUAAACUGUGUGUACGUAGUAAAGUAGUAAAUAAGAGUGUAGCAUAAAAUUACAUGGUUUAUCCAUUCAAACCAAUCUGAAAUGGGACAUGUAUCAUGACUGUCUGUCAUGUAAGUUAUCUAAGAA